AUGGCCUGGACUCCUCUCUUUCUGUUCCUCCUCACUUGCUGCCCAGGGUCCAAUUCCCAGGCUGUGGUGACUCAGGAGCCCUCACUGACUGUGUCCCCAGGAGGGACAGUCACUCUCACCUGUGGCUCCAGCACUGGAGCUGUCACCAGUGGUCAUUAUCCCUACUGGUUCCAGCAGAAGCCUGGCCAAGCCCCCAGGACACUGAUUUAUGAUACAAGCAACAAACACUCCUGGACACCUGCCCGGUUCUCAGGCUCCCUCCUUGGGGGCAAAGCUGCCCUGACCCUUUUGGGUGCGCAGCCUGAGGAUGAGGCUGAGUAUUACUGCUUGCUCUCCUAUAGUGGUGCUCGG